ACGGAAGGCAGCAGUGGGGAAUUUUGCGCAAUGGGGGGAACCCUGACGCAGCAACGCCGCGUGCGGGAUGAAGGCCUUCGGGUUGUAAGCCGCUUUCAGCAGGGACGAUUAUGACGGUACCUGCAGAAGAAGCUCCGGCUAACUACGUGCCAGCAGCCGCGGUAAUACGUAGGGAGCGAGCGUUAUCCGGAUUCAUUGGGCGUAAAGCGCGCGUAGGCGGCUUGCUAAGCGGAACCUCUAAUCCGAGGGCUCAACCCCCGGCCGGGUUCCGAACUGGCAGGCUCGAGUGCGGUAGGGGCAAGUGGAAUUCCAUGUGUAGCGGUGGAAUGCGCAGAUAUAUGGAAGAACACCGAUGGCGAAGGCAGCUUGCUGGGCCGACACUGACGCUGAGGUGCGAAAGCGUGGGGAGCGAACAGGAUUAGAUACCCUGGUA
rnacentral:rRNA from 1 species